UUUUGAGCUUAACACACACGCACACACACACUCUCACUUUAAUGUUAUAAAAGAAGCUACUUCACAGUGUUGUAUGUUCUGCUGUUUGAAAGACGUGACAUCGGAUCAUGACCGUGACUCUCACCGUCUCUCACAUGUGGUCUGGCCGGAGGAUUGUGGGACGGUGGGACGCCGCCUUUGGCGUGAUAGUGUGAUUGACAGAAGAGACUCUGGCCCUGGAUGCAGUAGAGGUUGCCCGGCAACAGUUUGAUGUCACACUCCUGCAAAACGGAAACAAAAAGAAAAAGUUCUGCUUUGUCUUAAACAUCCGAGCGUCUGCGACAACGAUCCCGUCGCUCCGUCUUCUCCAACGAACCUGGCAGCAGAAGCAGUGAGGGUGAAAGGUCAGCUGACCGGACCUCAUGACCAGAGCGGACGCUGGGAUUGGCUGGAGGCAGCGAGCGCACUGACCGCCGCCAAACAUCCUGAGAGCAACACGACAAAAAGGAACAUGGAGAAGGUCGAGUCAGAGGUCGAGUCACAGGAAACAGGAAGUAGUCUACCUGCCGUAGUCCUGCUGGCAGUAGACGUUCCCAUCUCUCCAGUAGAGCGAGGGGUGCGUCUGCAGCUCGCACUGACACUGGCUGCAGCGGAGGCAGGCGGCGUGCCACACCCGUCCCGCCGCCAGCAGGAAGAACCGCUCGCACACCUGCUCGCUGCAGGCGCAGCAGAUCAUCGGCUCCUGGACACAUUCAUUUGGAGCACCUUCCUCCUCCUCCUCCUCUUCCUCCUCCGCCCCCGCCGAGCCGCCGCCGCCCGUCUCAGACCCCUCGGCCUCGUCACCAAGGUCGCUGGCGAACAACAGCUCCUCCAGGACGCGGUCGUCUGGAGACAU